GACAGAGGGUGCAAACGUUGUUCGGAAUUACUGGGCGUAAAGCGCGUGUAGGCAGCUCUGCAGGUCGGAUGUGAAAUCCCACGGCUCAACCAUGGAAGUGCAUUCGAAACUGCAGGGCUAGAGUUCUGGAGAGGAAGGUGGAAUGCUUGGUGUAGAGGUGAAAUUCGUAGAUAUCAAGCGGAACACCGGUGGCGAAGGCGGCCUUCUGGACAGUAACUGACGCUGAGACGCGAAAGCGUGGGGAGCAAACAGG
rnacentral:rRNA from 1 species